UACGGAGGGGGCUAGCGUUGUUCGGAAUUACUGGGCGUAAAGGGCGCGUAGGCGGCGCGAUAAGUUGGGCGUGAAAGGCCCGGGCUCAACCCGGGGACUGCGCUUGAUACUGUCGCGCUGUGAGUCCGGGAGAGGAUGGCGGAAUUCCCAGUGUAGAGGUGAAAUUCGUAGAUAUUAGGAAGAACACCGGUGGCGAAGGCGGCGAUCUGGGCAGAUACUGACGCUGAGGUGCGAAAGCGUGGGGAGCAAACAGG
rnacentral:rRNA from 1 species